rnacentral:rRNA from 1 species
GGCUCAGGAUGAACGCUAGCGACAGGCUUAACACAUGCAAGUCGAGGGGCAGCAUGAUUUGUAGCAAUACAGAUUGAUGGCGACCGGCGCACGGGUGAGUAACGCGUAUGCAACUUACCUAUCAGAGGGGGAUAGCCCGGCGAAAGUCGGAUUAAUACCCCAUAAAACAGGGGUCCCGCAUGGGAAUAUUUGUUAAAGAUUCAUCGCUGAUAGAUAGGCAUGCGUUCCAUUAGGCAGUUGGCGGGGUAACGGCCCACCAAACCGACGAUGGAUAGGGGUUCUGAGAGGAAGGUCCCCCACAUUGGUACUGAGACACGGACCAAACUCCUACGGGAGGCAGCAGUGAGGAAUAUUGGUCAAUGGCCGAGAGGCUGAACCAGCCAAGUCGCGUGAAGGAAGAAGGAUCUAUGGUUUGUAAACUUCUUUUAUAGGGGAAUAAAGUGGAGGACGUGUCCUUUUUUGUAUGUACCCUAUGAAUAAGCAUCGGCUAACUCCGUGCCAGCAGCCGCGGUAAUACGGAGGAUGCGAGCGUUAUCUGGAUUUAUUGGGUUUAAAGGGUGCGUAGGUGGUGAUUUAAGUCAGCGGUGAAAGUUUGUGGCUCAACCAUAAAAUUGCCGUUGAAACUGGGUUACUUGAGUGUGUUUGAGGUAGGCGGAAUGCGUGGUGUAGCGGUGAAAUGCAUAGAUAUCACGCAGAACUCCGAUUGCGAAGGCAGCUUACUAAACCAUAACUGACACUGAAGCACGAGAGCGUGGGGAUCAAACAGGAUUAGAUACCCUGGUAGUCCACGCAGUAAACGA